rnacentral:rRNA from 1 species
GCCUACGGGGCGCAGCAGUGGGGAAUAUUGCACAAUGGGGGAAACCCUGAUGCAGCGACGCCGCGUGGGCGACGAAGCGCUCCGGCGCGUAAAGCCCUGUCAGCAGGGAAGAACAAAGACAGUACCUGACCAAGAAGCACCGGCUAAAUACGUGCCAGCAGCCGCGGUAAUACGUAUGGUGCAAGCGUUAUCCGGAUUUACUGGGUGUAAAGGGAGCGCAGGCGGCACGGCAAGCCUGAUGUGAAAGCCCGCGGCCCAACCGCGGGACUGCAUUGGGAACUACCGGGCUGGAGUGCCGGAGAGGG